rnacentral:tRNA from 1 species
GGGCGGUUAGCUCAGCCGGCUAGAGCGCUACCUUUACACGGUAGAUGCCGCAGGUUCGAAUCCUGCACCGCCCACCA